AUAUUGCAGAUCAAACGGAUUUGAGGUCAAAUCCUUUUCAAGAGGGAGGGGAUGAUAUGAUCAUGGAUAGCACUAAGGAUGUGGAGCAUGAACUGGAGCUUGAACGUGAGCUUGUAGCCGAGGAAGGAACUAAAGGAGCUAAGCUUGUAGUUGAGGAUGAGCUUAUAGCCGAGGAGGAGCUUGUACCCGAGGAAGCUUUGAUCGCACCAACUGGUCCAAUGACUCGUUCUAGAGUUAAGCUAUUCAACCAAGCCAU
rnacentral:lncRNA from 1 species